UCUAGAACCUGAGAUAUGGACUAAACAGUGUCUGGGUUGCACGACAGAUUUGGACGUCUAUUUUGAUGCUAAGAUUUGGACUCCAAAACGGCAGAAUUGAGUCUUUGACUCUUCAUGAAUGUUUUAGGCCUAUGUCUUAGCUUUCUAGC
rfam:Populus trichocarpa scaffold_1_contig_227, whole genome shotgun sequence.